rnacentral:tRNA from 1 species
GGCCAGGUAGCUCAAUGGUUAGAGCGGCGCUCUCAUAAAGCGAUGGUUGCGGGUUCGAGCCCCGCCCUGGCCA